AUUGAACGCUGGCGGCAGGCCUAACACAUGCAAGUCGAACGAGUGGCGGACGGGUGAGUAAUGUCUGGGAAACUGGCUGAUGGAGGGGGAUCACUACUGGAAACGGUAGCUAAUACCGCAUACCCUCGGAUGUGCCCAGAUUGGAUUAGCUAGUUGGUGGGGUAACGGCUCACCAAGGCGACGAUCCCUAGCUGGUCUGAGAGGAUGACCAGCCACACGGGACAUGAGAAACGGUCCAGACUCAUACGGGAGGCAGAAGUGGGGAAUAUUGCACAAUGGGCGCAAGCCGGAGGCAGCAAUGCCGCGUGUAUGAAGAAGGCCUUCGGGUUGUAAAGUACUUUAAGCGGGGAGGCGUUACUCGCAGAAGAAGCACCGGCUAACUCCGUGCCAGCAGCCGCGGUAAUUC
rnacentral:rRNA from 1 species